AUUGAACGCUGGCGGCAGGCCUAACACAUGCAAGUCGAACGAGUGGCGGACGUGUGAGUAAUGUCUUGGAAACUGCCUGAUGGAGGGGGAUAACUACUGGAAACGGUAUCUAAUACCGCAUACCAUCGGAUGUGCCCAGAUGGGAUUAGCUAGUUGGUGGGGUAACUGCUCACCAAGGCGACGAUCCCUAGCUGGUCUGAGAGGAUGACCAGCCAAACUGGAAAUGAGACACGGUCCAGACGCGUACGGGAGGCAGCAGGGGGGAAUAUUGAACAAUGGGCGCAAGCCUGAUGCAGCCAUGCCGCGUGUAUGAAGAAGGCAUUAGGGUUGUAAAGUACUUUCAGCGGGGAGGCGUUACCCGCAGAAGAAGCACCGGCUAACUCCGUGCCAGCAGCCGCGGUAAUUC
rnacentral:rRNA from 1 species